UACGUAGGGGGCAAGCGUUAUCCGGAUUUACUGGGUGUAAAGGGAGCGUAGACGGCAUGGCAAGCCAGAUGUGAAAACCCAGGGCUCAACCUUGGGAUUGCAUUUGGAACUGUCAGGCUGGAGUGCAGGAGAGGUAAGCGGAAUUCCUAGUGUAGCGGUGAAAUGCGUAGAUAUUAGGAGGAACACCAGUGGCGAAGGCGGCUUACUGGACUGUAACUGACGUUGAGGCUCGAAAGCGUGGGGAGCAAACAGG
rnacentral:rRNA from 1 species